rnacentral:rRNA from 1 species
UAAGGAAUAUUGGUCAAUGGACGCAAGUCUGAACCAGCCAUGCCGCGUGAGUGAAGAAGGCCUUCGGGUUGUAAAGCUCUUUCACCAGGGACGAAGCGCAAGUGACGGUACCUGGAGAAGAAGCACCGGCCAACUACGUGCCAGCAGCCGCGGUAAUACGUAGGGUGCGAGCGUUGUCCGGAAUUACUGGGCGUAAAGAGCUCGUAGGUGGUUUGUCGCGUUGUUCGUGAAAUCUCACGGCUUAACUGG